GUGCCAGCCGCCGCGGUAAUACGUAGGGUGCGAGCGUUAAUCGGAAUUACUGGGCGUAAAGCGUGCGCAGGCGGGCUUUUAAGCCAGACGUGAAAUCCCCGGGCUCAACCUGGGAAUGGCGUUUGGGACUGGAAGUCUGGAGUGCGGCAGAGGAGACUGGAAUUCCUGGUGUAGCAGUGAAAUGCGUAGAUAUCAGGAGGAACACCGAUGGCGAAGGCAGGUCUCUGGGUUGACACUGACGCUCAAGCACGAAAGCGUGGGGAGCAAACAGGAUUAGAUACCCGUGUAGUCC
rnacentral:rRNA from 1 species